rnacentral:rRNA from 1 species
GUGGGGAAUAUUGGGCAAUGGGGGAAACCCUGACCCAGCAACGCCGCGUGAAGGAAGAAGGUUUUCGGAUCGUAAACUUCUAUCCUUGGUGAAGAUAAUGACGGUAGCCAAGAAGGAAGCCCCGGCUAACUACGUGCCAGCAGCCGCGGUAAUACGUAGGGGGCAAGCGUUGUCCGGAAUGAUUGGGCGUAAAGGGCGCGUAGGCGGCCUGGUAAGUCUGGAGUGAAAGUCCUGCUUUUAAGGUGGGAAUUGCUUUGGAUACUGUCGGGCCUGAGUGCAGGAGAGGUAAGCGGAAUUCCCGGUGUAGCGGUGAAAUGCGUAGAGAUCGGGAGGAACACCAGUGGCGAAGGCGGCUUACUGGACUGUAACUGACGCUGAGGCGCGAAAGUGUGGGGAGCAAACAGGAUUAGAUACCCGAGUAGUCC